GACGAACGCUGGCGGCGUGCUUAACACAUGCAAGUGGUGCGACGAACCAGGCUUCGGCCUGGGGCAGAGCCGCGAGCGGGUGAGUAACACGUGGGCAACCUGCCCUGUUGAUCGGGACAACCCGGGGAAACCCGGGCUAAUACCGAAUGUGGUGCCGGCCCAUGAGAGCCGGCACGAAAGGAAGCUUCGGCCUCCGCGACAGGACGGGCCCGCGGCCCAUUAGCUUGUUGGUGGGGUAAUGGCCUACCAAGGCAACGAUGGGUAGCUGGUCUGAGAGGACGAUCAGCCACACUGGGACUGAGACACGGCCCAGACUCCUACGGGAGGCUGCAGUGGGGAAUCUUGCGCAAUGAGCGACAGCUUGACGCAGCAACGCCGCGUGGGGGAAGAAGGCUUUCGGGUCGUAAACCCCUUUCAGUUAGGACGAAGCUUUAUUGGUUAAUAACCAAUUGGAGUGACGGUACCUUCAGAAGAAGCCCCGGCUAACUACGUGCCAGCCGCCGCGGUAA
rnacentral:rRNA from 1 species